CAUGCAAGUGGAGCGACGAACCAGGGCUUGCCCUGGGGCAAAGCCGCGAACGGGUGAGUAACACGUGGGUAACCUGCCCCGAUGACCGGGACAACCCGAGGAAACUCGGGCUAAUACCGGAUGAGCUCCUGUCACAUGAGUGACUUGAGGAAAGGAAGCUUCGGCCUCCGUAUCGGGAUGGGCCCGCGGCCCAUUAGCUUGUUGGUGAGGUAACGGCUCACCAAGGCUUCGAUGGGUAGCUGGUCUGAGAGGACGAUCAGCCACACUGGGACUGAGACACGGCCCAGACUCCUACGGGAGGCAGCAGUGGGGAAUAUUGCACAAUGGGCGCAAGCCUGAUGCAGCGACGCCGCGUGAGGGAUGACGGCCUUCGGGUUGUAAACCUCUUUCAGUAGGGAAGAAGCGAAAGUGACGGUACCUGCAGAAGAAGCGCCGGCUAACUACGUGCCAGCAGCCGCGGUAAUACGUAGGGCGCAAGCGUUAUCCGGAAUUAUUGGGCGUAAAGAGCUCGUAGGCGGUUUGUCGCGUCCGCCGUGAAAGUCCGGGGCUCAACUCCGGAUCUGCGGUGGGUACGGGCAGACUAGAGUGAUGUAGGGGAGACUGGAAUUCCUGGUGUAGCGGUGAAAUGCGCAGAUAUCAGGAGGAACACCGAUGGCGAAGGCAGGUCUCUGGGCAUUAACUGACGCUGAGGAGCGAAAGCAUGGGGAGCGAACAGGAUUAGAUACCCUGGUAGUCCACGCCGUAAACGAUGGGCACUAGGUGUGGGAGGUGUCGACUCCUCCCGUGCCGCAGCUAACGCAUUAAGUGCCCCGCCUG
rnacentral:rRNA from 1 species